rnacentral:rRNA from 1 species
CCUACGGGUGGCUGCAGUGGGGAAUAUUGGGCAAUGGGCGCAAGCCUGACCCAGCAACGCCGCGUGAAGGAAGAAGGCUUUCGGGUUGUAAACUUCUUUUCUCAGGGACGAAGCAAGUGACGCUACCUGAGGAAUAAGCCACGGCUAACUACGUGCCAGCAGCCGCGGUAAUCCAGAGGUGGCAAGCGUUCUCCGGAUUGACUGGUUGUAAGGGGCGAGUAGGCGGGACUGCAAGUCAGAUGUGAAAACAAGGGGCUCAACCUGUGGCCUGCAUUUGAAACUGGAGUUCUUGAGUACUGGAGAGGCAGACGGAAUUCGUAGUGUAGCGGUGAAAUGCGUAGAUAUUAGGAAGAACACCAGUGGCGAAGGCGGUAUGCUGGACAGCAACUGACGCUGAGGCGCGAAAGCGUGGGGAUCAAACAGGAUUAGAUACCCCAGUAGUC